AAAGCUUUGACAUAUUUGCACCAAACUUUGUAUGUGCCAUUGUCACCUCAAACUGACCACGCCACAUUAAUUUGGUAACAGCGCCACCUAUUGGUCAAGAGUAAUAAACCAUUCAUUAACCAUUAAUAAUUACAUUUAUAAAAAUGCUAAUAACUUUUUAUUGCAUUAGCCUAUUGCAAUGAAACUGGUCUCAAAAUAUUCCUUGGCUUAGGCCGACAACAUAGAUACCAAAUAUGCCAGAGUACGCUGAACUUCCUGUCCGCCAUUUUGAUUUAUGUUGAAAACCUACUUUUUCGAACUCCUCAUCAACCGUUGGUCCAAUUUUCACCAAAAUUGAAUCAGAUGAUCUUCAGACUGUGGUGACAAAAUAUUAUGGAUUUUGUAUCGAUAGACAAAACCGUUUUCGCAUACCACAGCGACGAACUUCGGGCAUGAUGCCAAAAUGACACUUCAGCCUGUAUCUCUGCAAUGCUUUGGCAUACUGACACCAACCUUUGUGUGUGCCAUUGUCACCUCACACUGAACACACCAGAAUGAUUUGAUUACAGCGCCACCUGUUGGUCAAAAAUUAUAAGCCAUUUAAUCAUAAUACUAGUGCUUGUAUUUAUGAUUUUUCCACCAUUUCAAUUACAAUCAUCCUAAAAUUGCUGUAAUUGCUUAUUGUUGCAUUUGGUCUGAUGCUCCAUGCCAUGUUUAGCUCCUCAAUUUGCCGCUGGAGUGCUUGGCCCCGCAAUUAUUGCUUGCAGCUAUAUUUCUUCUUCUUCUUCUUCUUCUUCUUCUUCUUCUUCUUCUUCUUCUUCCGCCGCAAGUCUAUGGCAGCCCAUAGAACCGAUUGCGGGAAAGUUGUAUAAUUUGGCACACUGAUAGAGGACAGUCCCAGCCUUAACUAUAGCAAAUUUGAAGUCUCUAACUCCAACUCUCUAGCGCCACCACUUGUCCAAAGUUUCAAUAUUUGUAUGCUAAUAACUUUUGAACCGUAAGCCACAAAAUGAAAAUUCUUUUUUCCUCGGAAUCCUUGGCUCAGUCCAAGUCGAAUGAACCCCGAAAUUCAAAAAUCGCAAGGUUUAGUUUUUUCGCUAUUUUCAAUUGUUUGAAAAACCUACUUUUACGAACUCGUCCUAGACGGUUAGUUCGAUUUUCACGAAAAUUGGCUCAGAUCAUCUUCAGACGAUGCUGGCAAAAAGUUAUGGAAUUCAAGUUGAUUCGUCCAACCGUUCUCGAAUACCUCGUAAACAAAUUCUACGAAAAGCACUCAAAAAUGCUUGUGAGCCUAUAACUCCGCAACGGUUUGGCGUAUUGAGACCAAACUUGGUGAGUGUUAUAACAAGCAAGACUUGAGACUACCUGCAGUGUUUCGACGCAGCGCCACCUAGUGGUCAGGAGAUAUGAAAAAUGCAUAUUUUUGCUUAUAACUUCUGAAUGGUUUGGCCAAAAAUCACAAAAUUGGUCUCAUAAGAUUCGGUGGGUCAUGUCAAGUCGAAUGAUAUCCAAUUUUCCCGUGUCGGCCAUUUUAGGUGUCGGCCAUUUUGAAUUAUGUUUCAAAAUGCUGUAUUUUUUGAACGCAUCAUCGUAUCGCUACGAAAAUAAUUACAAAAAUGUUUGGCUCCAUGCCCUGAAGCUACUCAAAAAGUUUGGUGGCAGCGCCACCUUGUGGUCAAAAGUUAUAAUGAAAUAUCUUAAAAAUGCUAAUAACUUUUGAAAAAAUUAGACUAUUGCAAUGAAAUUCAUGUCGCUAUAUUCUCUUGGUCAUGCCGAGAACAUCGAUACCAAUUAUUCCAAAAUUGGCCAUACUUCCUGUCCGCCAUUUUUAUUAAAGUUGAAAACCUACUUUUUCGAACUCCUCCUAGACCGUUAGUCCGAUUUUCACCAAAUUGGGUUCGGAUCAUCUUCAGACCAAGCUGACAAAAAGUUAUGGAAUUCGUGUUGAUAUACGAAACGGUUUUCGUUUAGCGCAUCGACGAAUUUGUUCGUAAGAUGCAAAAAUACAUCUGAGGCUGUAUCUCGGCAAAGCUUUGACAUAUUUGUACCAACCUUUGUAUGUGCCAUUGUCAUCUCAGACUGACCAUGCCACAUCAAUUUUGUAACAGCGCCACCUAUUGGUCAAGAGUAAUAAAUCAUUCAUUACCCAUUAAUAAUUACACUUAUAAAAAUGCUAAUAACUUUUUAUUGCAUUAGCCUAUUGCAAUGAAACUGGUCUCAAAAAAUUCCUUGGCUUAUGCCGACAACAUAGAUACCAAAUAUGCCAGAGUACGCUGAACUUCCUGUCCGCCAUGUUGAUUUAUGUUGAAAACCUACUUUUUCGAACUCCUCAUCAACCGUUGGUUCGAUUUUCACCAAAAUUAAAUCAGAUGAUCUUCAGACUAUGCUGACAAAAUGUUAUGGAUUUUGUAUCGAUAGACAAAACCGUUUUCGCAUACCACAGUGACGAAUUUCAGGCAUGAUGCCAAAAUGACACUUCAGCCUGUAUCUCUGCAAUGCUUUGGCAUACUGACACCAAACUUUGUGUGUGGCAUUGUCACCUCACACAGAACACACCAAAAUGAUUUGAUUACAGCACCACCUGUUGGUCAAAAGUGAUAAGUCAUUUAAUCAUAAUACUAGUGCUUGUAUUUAUGUUUUUC
ensembl:lncRNA